rnacentral:tRNA from 1 species
GGAAAGGUGUCCGAGUGGUCGAAGGAGCACGCCUGGAAAGCGUGUAUACCUGCAAGGGUAUCGAGGGUUCGAAUCCCUCCCUUUCCGCCA